UACGUAGGUGGCAAGCGUUGUCCGGAAUUAUUGGGCGUAAAGCGCGCGCAGGCGGCCUCUUAAGUCUGAUGUGAAAGCCCCCGGCUCAACCGGGGAGGGCCAUUGGAAACUGGGAGGCUUGAGUAUAGGAGAGAAGAGUGAAUUCCACGUGUAGCGGUGAAAUGCGUAGAGAUGUGGAGGAACACCAGUGGCGAAGGCGACUCUUUGGCCUAUAACUGACGCUGAGGCGCGAAAGCGUGGGGAGCAAACAGG
rnacentral:rRNA from 1 species